rnacentral:rRNA from 1 species
CGCGACCCAGGUCAGGCGGGGUUACCCGCUGAAUUUAA